AGGAUGAACGCUGGCGGCGUGCUUAAUACAUGCAAGUCGAGCGGUAAGGCCCCUUCGGGGGUACACGAGCGGCGGACGGCUGAGUAACGCGUGGGAACGUACCCCGAAGUGAGGGAUAAGCACCAGAAAUGGUGUCUAAUACCGCAUGUGCUCUAAGGAGUAAAGCUCCGGCGCUUCGGGAACGGCCUGCGUCCGAUUAGCUUGUUGGUGAGGUAAUGGCUUACCAAGGCGACGAUCGGUAGCUGGUCUGAGAGGAUGACCAGCCAGACUGGGACUGAGAACGGCCCAGACUCCUACGGGAGGCAGCAGUAGGAAUUUUCCACAAUGGAC
rnacentral:rRNA from 1 species